CCCUUCUCAGAGUUGUACCUGGAGAGUUCCCAGUACUUUUCCAGUCUCGACUAUGGGAGGGAGAGUCAGGCAGAGGCAUACCCAUUUUAUUCCUAGCUUGGCCAGUGGCUAGUGAGUGGAAGGCAAUCUGCUACAGGU